rnacentral:tRNA from 1 species
UAAUAAGAAGCAAAAUCUUGCAUUUAGUUUCGGCCUAAAACACUGAUAGUUUUUAUCCUUAUUUU